GAGGGGCCUAUUGAUAGCUCUGGUACCAAGUUCCAACUGCAGUGAGAGACCCAAGGAUGUCAAGGAAAACAUCAGUUCAGUUACGGAAGACAGAGAUGAAGAGGUUUGACACAGGGGACACUCUCUGAAAGUGAAUGUUUAGGAUCUGGGUCAAAUUCCCCUUCAUGCAACCAGAGUCAAAUCCCAGCAGAGCCAGGCUGGAAUCUGCCUGUCCGACAAAGGAGAAGAGAGAUACUGUGCUGAAGAAGCUGAAGAAUAUGUGCCAGCACGUUUGGAAAAGAUUACAUUGGAAUGAAACUUGAAGAUGCUGGAUGAAGGAAGGUUUGGAGUCUCCACCCUAAAAGCCUCUGGACUCAUUCUGGAAAUGGAUCUACCACAUCCCCCAUGACUGACUUCUCGCACCAGCUGUCUCACACGAUGUACCAGGCUUGAUGGAGUUCAAAAAGAUUCUGUAAUAGCGAAUCAUGGGACAGUGGGCAUCUUCUUGCUCUCAAGAGAAGUAACCAAGACGGCCGUCCACGUGUGUGACCCUUCACAGGAUAAUAAAAGAGCAGCAGUGGAUACACAUGAUUAACAUUACAGUCGGUGACCCAGU